CCCUAGCCCAGAUUGCAGCAAUUGUUUGAGCUCAUUUUUUGGAUUGGGCUGCGGCGGCAAAGCCGCCGCAGCCCAAUCCAAAAAUAGCGAGUGUGGAAAGCUGGAAAUUGC
rnacentral:misc_RNA from 1 species